ACUAUUAGGCAGGAAUUGGAUGCUGCUGGUUCGGGAAGUUCAGAAUCGAAAUGGCGGGAACUCUUCAGUUUCAAAUUUCAACUUCCAGAUCUGCAACGGUCGGAAACCGAGUAUCUUGCCAGCGGAAACGUUGUCUUCCGGAUCAUCAUAUCCGAUUCUACUCCUUUCCUCUCGCUUAAACCCUAAUUCAUCAAUCCUCUUGAAUUCCGCUCGAUUUCUUCAACUAUCAGAGCCAAAGAAUGAUCCGAUCAGGUAGAUGGUGAUCGGAAUCAGCCUGCUAGGGUUGUGGAUUCAGCAACUGAAUUAACAUGAGAGAAACCAUUAUUAUAUUUGGGAUCACUAACGUCCUUUCAUUAGCAGUGAUCAUUGCCUAUGGCAGACUCCUACAUCACAUCCUUCUGGCUUUCAACACGCUUGCAGUAUGGAGGCCCUUCGAGUGUCUAUGGUGAAAACACUUCCUGUAGUGGUAGCAGUUGUGGAGCAGCUCAGUGGUGCUCUAAGUGAAUCAGGGUUGCUGGUUUUUCCGUGUUGCAGCACAUAUCAACCAGAUCAUCAUUGACUCUUUUCUAGUAAACUUCUGGGCUUCUGGCUCCAAAAGGAUCAGUCUUCUGACAGUAUCAAGGAAGCAUAAUUUGAGGAAUGAAUCACUGGCAGCAUUUUCAAAGGAAAUCAACAAAGGGGGGAUCUUUGUGUCGUCCGUGAUUAUGUGGUAGACCUGUCUGUGCAACCUUAGAUCCCCUACCUCUUUAGUUUGCUCUUUAUGGUGAAGCAUCGGCAAUGAGAAGUGGUAUGUUCGAAGCUAUUGGUGAAUGCAGUGACAACUUCCAAGUGGAGUGAGAUAAUAAAGAUCGUAAUUCCUACCUCAAUAAGAUGCAUCUCCAUCCUCCCCUGGUUAUUGCUCACAUAGUCUAUGACAUUGGUUGCAUGUUUUCUUAUGGUUUGAACCAUGUUUUCACCGCUCGAGUUGAUUAGUUGUGGGUUUGAGUCUUGAUAUGUCCACUAUCGUCUAUUAUUUCUAUGAAAAUGUUGCUUGUCAUA